ensembl:lncRNA
GGCUAUGUCACACCAACAGACAAGACAAUAUGGCUAUUGUCUCAUUAACUGUCUGAUUUCAUGUCUCCAUGUCAAUUAAAUGUUUCUAUAUUUCUAUCUCACAGCUUGAGGAAUCAUAUUAGUUUAAUGUAUUAAGAGGAAAGUAAUUAAAUAUUUGUUCUUGGGUAAUUGUAUAUAAACUGCAUGACAAUUGAGCUGGUGAUGUAAUUAGUGAAUCGUAAUUGGAGACCCUUUUACAAUCAAUGUUUAAUUUACUAACAACUGUUUUGGCUUAAGAGCAAAUUAAAUGCUUGUCAUUGGCCUUCCACACCCACGGCGUGCAGAGUCAGCCCGUUUCCUGGCUGGCUGUGGGGGAGGCCUUCUGUGCUGUCAGUUGGCCAUGUCAUCUCUAGGAAGUCUUAGAGCCUGUCUGGAACUCAGUUUUAUUAUCUGCAAGUUGGGAGCCUUGGGAAGAAAAUACUGAGGAAUAAUGUGUAUUGAGCACCUGUAGUGAGUCGGAUACACACCUCAUAAGCUCCUGUGGUACCUCAUUACAUGUGGGUAGUACAUUAUACGCGUUCUAAGCACACGUGUUAACUCACAUGUGGGUAACUCAUUUAGCCCCAGCAACAACCCUACACAUAGGUGCUGCUGUCUUCACUUUAUAGAAAAGGACACUGAAGUGCAGUGUAACUUGCUCAGGAAGCAGAGGAAAGAGCCGUGGCACCAGAGCCCAUUCUGUCGUUAGGAAAGGGCUGGGCUCCGGGCACCGGCGGCAGUGGAGGAUUCUCCCGGCAGCGGGACCCCGUCCUCUCGACCUGGAGCUCCAGCGGCGAACACCCGGGACAACUUCCAGAGAGGCCCUAAUCUUUCUAUAAACAAUGGGUCUCGGUUCCUUUGUUUGGUUCCUCUGGGAAAGAUGCCAAGGUAGAAGUGCAAGAGACUUCUUGGGAGAAACUCUUGUGAAGGAUUAGGGGGUGAGGGAAGGGGGAUCAAGAGGAGACACGGAGAGCCUUCAGACUGGGAUGCUGAUCUGCCUAUUGAGAAAGGAGCGAGGGAAGGAAGAAGGUGGGGCAGAAAGAGCCUCAGACCGGAGUGCAGCUCUGAGGAAGCCUCAACCAGGCUUUUGGAGUCUGAGCGCCCCUCUGUUAAAGAAGUUCCACGCUGGCAGGCUGACUCAGCUCUAGCACACACCCCCCACCUCCACCCCACCCCAUGCUCUGCCUUUGCUGACAGCAGCCUGGGGAAGAUUGUGGCCUCAAUGUGAACCUUCUCAUGGAUUCCAGAUAGUAUAUUCUAGAACUUGAAGGGAGAUUUGAGCAGUGCACUACCAAGAUGGUCAUAGUUAUCCCACUAGGCAUAUGCUCUUGGGAGCCUGAAAUGUUAAUAGUACUGGGCCUAGUAUGGGCACUCAGUAAGCCCUGGAAUGAACUCAAGAAUGAAUGCCCUGUUAUAUCCUGCAAGCGUGAACAAGGGCAUGUUCUGUAAAAACCAGCUUGUGGAAGUGGGACCUCAUGUGUGUAUAUGUGUGUGUGGGGGUGUGUGUGUGUGUAUGCUCAGUUGUGUCCAACUCUUUGCUACCCCAUGGACUGUAGCCCACUAGGCUCUUCCGUCCAUGGAAUCUUCCAGGCAGGAAUACUGGAAUGGGUUGCCAUUUCCUUAUCCAGGGAAUCUUCCUGACCUUCAUGCUGCUGCUGCUGCUAAGUUGCUUCAGUUGUGUCCGACUCUGUGCAACCCCAUAGACGGCAGCCCACCAGGCUCCCCCGUCCCUGGAAUUCUCCAGGCAAGAACACUGGAGUGCCAUUUCCUUCUCCAAUGCAUGAAAGUGAAAAGUGAAAGUGAAGUUGCUCAGUUGUGUCCAACUCUUAGCGACCCCAUGGACUGCAGCCUACCAGACUCCUCCACCCAUGGAAUUCUCCAGGCAAGAGUACUGGAAACCCAUUGCCUUCUCUGCCUGACCUUCAUACCUAUGUCUAAAGUCCUACUAUGGUUAGAUUGAGCCUGUUUUUUGGUUUAUGGGCAACUGUUUCAUUUUCCCUUGAACCCCUGGCACCAGCUGAUAAGGACUGUCUUCAUGGAUUGAGGCUGACUCUCUGGAGAACAGACCUUGCAUUUCCCAAAAAAGAGCAGUUUUGUACAUUUUCCUCCGUGGCAUUGGAGAUCAGACAAAUCAGGGUUUAAAUUUCAAUUCAGCUACUGACUAGCCAUGAGCCCUUGGGCAAAACUAACCUCUCGGAUUCCCCAUUCUAACAAUUUAUUGGGACUUGCUGUAUGUCAGAUACAGUUCAUUCUAGGAGUGUUAUGCACUGUUGUGGCCUGAAUGUUUGUGGCCCACCAAAAUAUAUCAGUUGAAGCCUAAUCUCCAGUAAGAUAGUGUUUGGAUAUGGGGCCCUUGGGAGAUGAUUAGUUCAUGAGGGUGGAGCCUCAUGAGUGGGAUCAGGGCCCUUUUCGAAAAGGCCCCUUCACUCCAUCCACCAUGUGUGGACAUAAUGAAAAGACAGUUGGCCAUAAACCAAAAACCAGGCUCUCACCAGACACCAAAUCUGCCUCGAUCUUGGAUUUUCCAGCCUCCAGAAUUGUGAGAAAUUUCUAUUGUUUCCAAGCUACCUAGCCUAUGGUAAUUUGUUAUAAUAACCUGAACAGACCAAGGCAUGCACCUUAUAUAGUUAACCCUCAUUUUACAGAUGGGAGCAGACUCAGAGAAGUUUAGUGACUUGCCAAAAGUCACACAGGUCAAACAGGGCAGGAUCAGGGAUUAGCCCCAAAUCUGUUUGAUGCCAAAGCCCAUUGUCAAUGCCUCCCCACUGUCUCCAGAUGCAUCCGUGAGAGGAGCAUCUGGAUCCAAGACUGCAGACCUCUCCAUGGGCACCCAGCGCCACUCUCUUGCUUUCUGAAUGUUUUCUCCGUCUUUAAAAAUGUCCCAUGGAGAAGGAAAUGGCAACCUACUCCAGUAUUCUUGUCUGGAGAAUCCUGUGGAUGGCAGAGCCUGGUGGUCUGUUGUCCAUAGGGUCGCACAGAGUUGGACAUGACUGAAGCGACUUAUCAUGCGUGCCUGGGAGAGGGCAAUGGCAACCCACUCCAGUAUUCUUGCCUGGAGAAUCCCAGGGACAGAGGAGUCUGGUGGGCUGCCAUCUAUGGGGUCGCACAGAGUAGGACAUGGCUGAAGCACCUUAGCAGCAGCAGCAGCAGCAAAAAUGUUCCAGACACAGUGAAGUCUGCUCCUCUGCCCUCUGCUUGCUCCUCCGGCUCUCUUGCUCCGAGUUCUUCCUCUCCCUCUUCUGCUCUCCUUGCAGAAACCUUCCUAUCUUUGCCCCUCAUCCUGCCCAUUUCCCUGCCUUCCUCCAGUUUCUCUUGUCUCUCCCCCACCCUACGUCCUCUCCCAGCUCCUCCUCUGCCUUCCGCCUUGCUGGGCCAUGCUCUUCAGACAUCUCAUUAAAGUAAUUGUUGACCUGAAUUCUUCUUCCAGUGCAUCUAUAAUUAUGCACCACAGGAAACCCUGAGGGAUUCAAAACAGACUCUUAAUCUAUUUCACAUGAUUCAAAAACAACUCCCAGGAAAGCAGUUUAAUAGACACGAUUAACAGAAUGCUGCUCGGCCAUCCGUGGGAGAUGUUCCCAACCCAGCACUGCCCGCCUCCCUGGGCUUGGUGCUCAGAGACAUCAAAGGUCCCCUCCAAAUCUAGUAAGGCUUUUAGGGUUUAAUUUAGUUAAUUAACUGGAUGUGAAGACAGCUGGAGAAUUUUGUGAGAAGUGUUCCCCUGUCCUUUCCUUCUCUCCUCUGAGCUCAAGGACCCCGCUGGACCAUUGUUAAGGCCUCGGAUGCUCAGUGUGUCUCCACCAGGUAUAGAGGUCAGUUCUGUCCAUCAGCCCAGGGGCUGUGUGUAUUUGUCAAUGUUGUACUGUGUUACCAGCAAGGCCCGAGAUCCCUACCCCUUUCUCUACAUCCGCUUUCUACCAACCUCAAAUCCUGGUCACCUCUCCUGCUUCUGUGAAAGGCUUCCCCUUGUGGAUGCUGGGAGCUAGCACUGCAGGAAAGCCUCCUUAUCAGAAUGAGUUCCUAUGGAAGAUCCUGUGAAGGGUGCCCCCUGGGCAAGGGACUUGUUCCAGGGCCCACCUGGAAGAGGACUUGGCUGGGUAACCUCUUGGGCAAGUCUCCCCACCCUUGGGCUCUUGACAACACCACUUUUCUAAAACUUUUCUAAACACCACUUUUCUAAAUCUGUCCUUCCAAUGAGACUAGUUCAUUUAUCAUCUGUAACAGUGACUCUGUAAUUUAAAUAUGCGCCAAUGUCCAUCGUCUCCUGGAUGGCUUGUUAAAACAAGUUUCUGGUUCUGAGGCAGAGCCCAAGAAUUUGCAUUUGUAAAGAGCUUCCUGGUGAUGACUGAGCUGUCGGAUACAAGGUCUUUGACCUUGUCAUAUUCUUCCCAUUACCAGCAGCGUGAACAUCACCUGGAAACAUUUGAAAAUGCCGAAUCUCAGACCCCAACCCAGAUCUACCGAAUUAGAGUCUAUGGUUUAACAGGGUCCCUGGGGGAUGUGUGUGCGCAGUGCAUGUGAGAAGCACUGGUUUAGAGGAAAGCUCUCAGCGUUCCAGGUAAUGGUGGAAUGGGGAGCAGGUGGACAAGAAUGAUUGUCCCCAUCCUGCCAGGGACAGGACAAGAAACCACUGUCUUCAGAACAGACUCCACCUGUCCCUCUCUCACACCCUCACACCCCCUUCAGCCACCACCAAUGCAAAUGAUCUAAUCACCCAUCUCUGCCAAGGCCCCAGCUCCGGGAUGGGUAUUUUCCCAGGGAAUUUCACUAGAGGAGGAGACUCUGCCUGCAGGUUGUAGGCUUGUUGUUCGCACUUCUGUUCCUCCUCGGAUACUCCCUGCCACGGCUACCCCAGCCCCAUAGCUGUUUUUCAGUUCUUCCUUGGGAAGGGAAAUAGGCAACCAUUAUGCCCCUUUUGCUUCUUCCAGAAACUAAUUAGAAUCCAAGAAUAUUGUUUUGUCUUAUUGUCACUAUACAACGACAGCCCUCAUGAUGCAAAGUCAUUAUAUAUCACAGACAAAAUUAAUCAUUUAUAGUUAGUUCUCUGCAAAUGGAUGAGAAAUCCUCUCCUCCAAUAACAAGAAUAUGAACACAUCAGUCACUCUCUCCAUCCUGAGUCACACAGGGCCCCCUUGUGCUCAGAGCUCUGACUCUAACAGGAGCAUGUGUACUCGGUCAGGGGAAGGCAUCGGUGCCCUUGAAAGGGGUUUGUUACUGAGUCCAAGCUUGCUCUAGCUCACUGCACAACAGACCAGUGAAUCUGAGAGUUCAGACGUCGAGUCAAGGAAUACGACCUUAUUCAGAAAGUCAGCUGACUGAGAAGAUCUUACCUGGGUCUGGAUACCAGUUUCUUCUAUGGAUCAGAGAUGAGGAGAGGUGAGGAAACAAAGUAAAAAGGCCAUUAAUCUUGCAAAUAUCUCCUAGAAUGGCAAGGCUCGGACAGGGGGAUGUGUUCGUUUCUUCCUUCCUGCCAUCUACAGGAGGACAGUGUUCUGAACAAAGGCGCUCUUUAACAGUCAGGCAGAGGGGCAAGAUUCUUUGAGGCAGGCCAUUAUGUGUGGUUAUAACAACAAAAGCAACAGAAAGCAGGUCAAACAGUUCCAACAUGGAGUCAAAAUUGACUUAUCCCUGCAACAGGUUAGGAGCCAUGACCAACAACCCCUUAACUUUGCAGCAAUUCUCAAUAGGCCUCUUUGGUCUACAGCUGUGUUGAAUUUACAUUUUCCCACUAGAACAAGUGAAUAAUAUCUAGUUCAAUAAGGUUUAGCUGUUAUGAUUUAGCCAAGACUGUUACAUGGCAGACGUUGAUAAUAAUUUCGUACUUACUCUGCGUUAGUCACUAUUCUGUUUUCUAUGUAUUGGCUGACUUAAACCUCACAAUAAUCCUGAGAGGUGAGUACUAUUAUGAUCGUAAUCAUCCCCAUUUUGCCUAAAAAGAAGCGGGAGCUUAAAGAGAUUACAUACCUUGCACCAAGUCACAUAAAGUCACAAGCCAGUAAGCCACAGAGCCAGGAUGUGAACCCCAAAUCUACAUAUUUAAUGACCACACUAUACCAGCUCCCAAGUUCUCAAAGUUUAUUCAUAGCUGUGUCCGGCAGUACUUGAACUCAUAAACUAUGGAUAAGGGAGAGGGGACUUAGUUCUUGCCCUGAAGUCUCUCCCCUCUCUCACUCUGGUAAUAUCUGCUCUUCCUGAUCUGACUUUAUGGAGUUGGAACUGUUUCUUGACCCCAAGGAAUACUAGAAGUUUAUCUCAUCCCUACCCUACCCCUGGCCCCAGACCAAACUGAGGCUACAAAGAGAACACUGAAGGAGGCAGAACUUUCUUGAUUUCUUUGCCGUCAUUUCCUCCCCUUCUUUUUUUCCCCCAGUCAUUCAUUCAAGAAACGCAUCACGUUUGUACCAUAUUCUUGACACAGAGUUGAAGCAGUCAUUUUACCCUCCUAUAGGCACUUGAAAUGCAGUGGCAGUAGAUAAGCGUGAUAGCAACCAAACACCAAGCAGAUACAGUGUGUGUUAUAUGGAGGUGCAAGGGAUGCUAUGACAGAGCAAGGCAAGAGUGAUCUGUUAAUCAGGGUGUGAGGUCUUUCAGGGAGAAGACCAAGUGUCAGCCAUCUGAAUUCUCUAACCAUCUCAGAAAGUGAGGUGAGCCCGUGGAAUCAAACUGGGAGAUCAGAGAAGACAACACAAAGAUUUAGCAUCUCAGCUGGGUCUUAUAUGGCUAGAAUUUUGAUUUGUGGCAGAAAAUGAGGAAAAGGACUGACCGAGGAACAGCAGGAGUGAAGACAGAAGUCAGAAAAAUGAAGGGCCUGUUGAAAGGAGGGAAUCAACAGUUACUUUGAUUAGGAAACAAUGAUUAUGGAAUCAGCUUUCAAGUAAGCAACAAGAGAAUUAACCACCGAGUUUAAUGCUUUUUCCUUUCUUGAAGUUUUUCUGAUCCCAGUGUGGGUAUCUUAUAUUAAGUUCACUUACCACAGGCAUGGUGCACAGACAGCUGCCUUCUUGGCAAAAGUUUUGUGUGUUCCCACUAUCUUCUGGCUGCCCUCAAACUUUCAUCACCUCAAACACCCCAGUUCCUCUCAUCAAAAGGCUCCUCCUUUUUCCUGUGACCUCAGGACCAGAAGGGGAACGCGGCCAAACUCAAACUGACUCAGGUGAAUUGACUUAUGAAAGCUACUUCCCACCUGUGGUUCAUUCCCUAAGUGCAGAGAGGUGGUGAAGAUCAGAACGCGGCCACCUCCUCCUAAACACUGCAUUUUUCUUUCUUUUCCUUUUCUUUUCAAGUAAGAACGCUUAUUUGAGGUAGCUGCUGGAGAAACUCAAAUCCAAAAGAGGAAUUGGGAAUACGGGGAUAACCGUAACAGGUAGACAGUAAGCCAUUUCUUGGAAUUUUUCAAUACCACCUUUUAGUAGGAUGCCGGCUUACUUAAAGGCACAAAUCUUGUGCCUCUGGGAAACCACAGACUCCAAGGCUCUCAUCAAGAUCUUCUCAAACAUCAUUUCCAGGAAAGAGCCCUGAUUGGGUGAACAUAGAUAAAAGAAUGAUAUAUUCUGUCUGUGAAGAGGCUGUCUCUUUUUCCUAUCAAGAUUGCUUCUGGAAUCUUGCCUAAAAACAUGAGAAGUCACAUUUUUAGGCAAGGGUUGAGAGCAGACUGUUAAAACCUCCCCUUGCUUACACUGCUGUUGGUGACUUACAGACAGGAAAUGAGCAGAGGAGGGUGGAGACAAUCUGCUGAUUGAGAGAGAGGGAGCCAAUGAGAAACAGAGGAACCGCUGCCCACCCAGAGUGCUUUGGGGUGGGGGGGUGGUGGGACUAGUCUCUAUAGCCUAUAAAAUCCGCAGUCUGUGCCUCAGUGUUCUUUGGUUGGGGUGGUUGUGGCUGCCGAAGGUUUCUCAGGGUUGGAGUGGGGAAAGCAGAUUAAGCCUAGAGGGUAGGGUAUAAAGCUUCCUUUUGUUUCAGAAGAGAAAACUCUGGGAAUAGGGAUGUAGGGCUCUCUCUCUCCACACACUAGUCUCUGUUAGUGCUCUUCUGUGUGGAUUUUCUCUUCUGUUUUCUCACAGGUAGUCCUGGGGUCAUAAGAACACAAGCCCUGCCUCUUUCUCCCAGGGUUUUUUGUGUUUUUGUUUUUUUUUUUUUUCCUUCUCUGCCUGCUUUCUUACAUCUGAAAAGCCUCUUUGUGUGUGACUGAAAACAGUACCGAUUUAUUAACGUUCUGGAGGUCAGAAGUGUGAAAAAAGGGUCUUUACAAAGCUAAAAUCAAGGUGUUGGUAAAGCUGUGAUUCCUUCUAGAGGCUUUCGGAGAGAAUUUUCUUGAGAGACUGUCUGAUAGUCCUUGGCUCAAGGCCCCACAUCAACCUCUGUGUAAAAAUCUUUCUUCAGGGGUUUUCUUUUACCAACUUGAAGCCUUAAAAAAAAAAAAAAAAAUCCUGGUACAUAAAACAGAGCUCCAGUUUCUUUGGGAAGCUGUCUUUUCUCCCAGGGAAGAUCUUUCUGGGAGUGGGUUCUUCCGGGGACUAACGGCCUAUAUCAACAGGCAGAGGGGAUACCUAGCUCCACAGGUAUGAACUCGAAGCUCACAUGAAGAGCAUGGGACCCUGAGUUGGAGUAUAUGCACUGAAGUGGGUGACUUUUCUCCCCAAAGCCAAAAACUCAAACUUCCAGCAAGCAGAGACUCAGCAUUAGCCCUUCCUGUGAUAGGGUGAUGACGCUUUCCUGCUCAAACCUGUUUUCAAACAACCUGUGGCCUGGCUUCUGUGCUCAGGUCUCAGAGAGCUUGGAAAGUUGACUUCUGCUGUAAGGACAGGAGUGAGGAACGAAGUGAAUCAACAACUCUUAGAUCAGAGGCUUGAAAUCACAGGACAAAAUUCUGUCCUGAAAACUGGACAGACAGAAAAACCAGUGAGUAACCAGCAGGAUCGCUUACAGGGUAACAAACCAGUGGAGGCAUCUGUAGACUUCCCUUGAAGGGUAAGCAUUAAAGGACCCAGUUCGAGGGGCCUCCCUACUUUCAUGAGUUUUCUCCCCCAGGU